rnacentral:rRNA from 1 species
UGCAGUCGAGCGAACAGAUAAGGAGCUUGCUCCUUUGACGUUAGCGGCGGACGGGUGAGUAACACGUGGGUAACCUACCUAUAAGACUGGGAUAACUUCGGGAAACCGGAGCUAAUACCGGAUAACAUUUGGAACCGCAUGGUUCUAAAGUGAAAGAUGGUUUUGCUAUCACUUAUAGAUGGACCCGCGCCGUAUUAGCUAGUUGGUAAGGUAACGGCUUACCAAGGCGACGAUACGUAGCCGACCUGAGAGGGUGAUCGGCCACACUGGAACUGAGACACGGUCCAGACUCCUACGGGAGGCAGCAGUAGGGAAUCUUCCGCAAUGGGCGAAAGCCUGACGGAGCAACGCCGCGUGAGUGAUGAAGGGUUUCGGCUCGUAAAACUCUGUUAUUAGGGAAGAACAAAUGUGUAAGUAACUGUGCACGUCUUGACGGUACCUAAUCAGAAAGCCACGGCUAACUACGUGCCAGCAGCCGCGGUAAUACGUAGGUGGCAAGCGUUAUCCGGGAAUUAUUGGGCGUAAAGCGCGCGUAGGCGGUUUCUUAAGUCUGAUGUGAAAGCCCACGGCUCAACCGUGGAGGGUCAUUGGAAACUGGGAAACUUGAGUGCAGAAGAGGAAAGUGGAAUUCCAUGUGUAGCGGUGAAAUGCGCAGAGAUAUGGAGGAACACCAGUGGCGAAGGCGACUUUCUGGUCUGUAACUGACGCUGAUGUGCGAAAGCGUGGGGAUCAAACAGGAUUAGAUACCCUGGUAGUCCACGCCGUAAACGAUGAGUGCUAAGUGUUAGGGGGUUUCCGCCCCUUAGUGCUGCAGCUAACGCAUUAAGCACUCCGCCUGGGGAGUACGACCGCAAGGUUGAAACUCAAAGGAAUUGACGGGGACCCGCACAAGCGGUGGAGCAUGUGGUUUAAUUCGAAGCAACGCGAAGAACCUUACCAAAUCUUGACAUCCUUUGAAAACUCUAGAGAUAGAGCUUUCCCCUUCGGGGGACAAAGUGACAGGUGGUGCAUGGUUGUCGUCAGCUCGUGUCGUGAGAUGUUGGGUUAAGUCCCGCAACGAGCGCAACCCUUAAGCUUAGUUGCCAUCAUUAAGUUGGGCACUCUAGGUUGACUGCCGGUGACAAACCGGAGGAAGGUGGGGAUGACGUCAAAUCAUCAUGCCCCUUAUGAUUUGGGCUACACACGUGCUACAAUGGACAAUACAAAGGGCAGCUAAACCGCGAGGUCAUGCAAAUCCCAUAAAGUUGUUCUCAGUUCGGAUUGUAGUCUGCAACUCGACUACAUGAAGCUGGAAUCGCUAGUAAUCGUAGAUCAGCAUGCUACGGUGAAUACGUUCCCGGGUCUUGUACACACCGCCCGUCACACCACGAGAGUUUGUAACACCCGAAGCCGGUGGAGUAACCAUUUAUGGAGCUAGCC